rnacentral:lncRNA from 1 species
AUUGGUUACAUGUUACGUUUGCUAUAUCAUCUUUGGUAGUUAAUUUUUAUAUGUUAAAAUAAACUAUUUUGGUUAAUAAUUUGAUAAAUUAAACUUGUUUUAAACAAGAAUAUAUUAAUAUAUUAUUGAUUAUUACUUUAAUUGAUUCUAAGAAAAAUAUAUUAUUGUUUUAACUUAAUUUUACUUAUGCAAAGUGUACGACCCAAUUAUUGCUCGGCCCAUAAAUAAAACCAAUAUAAAAGCAAAAAAAAAAAAAAGAAUAAAAGUCCAUUUACAUAAAUAAAACAGUCCAAAUUACAAUUACCCAAAACCCAAGUUGUAGAGGCCCAAGUUGUAGUCCACACCACAGCAGCCUCGCAAUGCGCCACCUUCAGUCUUCCUCUCCACGCGCACCACGCCACCACCUCCGGUCCCAGUUUCAAUAGUUUAAAACAGCGCCAUAUUGGCCAUUCAGCAUCAGUAACCCGCGC